AUUUUUUUGUAGAUAUGUUUCUCCAUUCACUAACAUGGAAAUUUCUAUAUAAAGGAUCUGACUGCUGAAUCAGAGCAAGGUCAGGUAGCUACUCAAGAUAUCUGCAGAGGUUUCUUCUGAUUCUGGAGCUUUACAGGAAGAUAAAGUUGGCAAAGGGAAGGAUGAUGAAGAAAAUGAUGCUGAAAGAAGAGGAGAAAAUGAGAAGGAUAAAGUUAAAGGUCUUGGAAGAACAAAACUUGAUGCUUUGCUACAGAGGCUUCCAAGCUGUGUGAGCCGUGACUUGAUUGAUCGGUUGACUGUAGAGUUUUGUUAUUUAAACUAAAAGGCCAACAGGAAAAAGCUUGUGAGGGCUUUGUUCAAUGUUCCUAGGACAUCUCUUGAGCUAUUGCCGUACUAUUCACGAAUGGUCGCCACACUGUCAACUUGAUAAAAUGAACAUCGAAAUGAAGAUCAGGAACAUACGUUUUAUUGGAGAACUUUGGAAAUUUAAAAUUGCAUCAGUGGGCCUUGUGUUAUCGGUUGUCUAAAGGCUUGUUUAGAUGAUUUUACUCAUCAUAAUAUUGAUGUUGCUUGCAAACUUCUUGAGACGUGGUCGCUUCCUCUAUCAGUCUCCUGAGACUACUGUACGCAUUUCUAACAUGUUAGAGUUAUUGAUGCGCUUGAAAAAUGUCAAAAAUUUGGAUCCUCGUCAGAGCACUUUAGUGGAGAAUGCUUAUUACUUGUGCGAACCACCAGAAAGAUCAGCCCUGGUCUCUAAAGUUCGUCCUCCACUGCAUCAGUACAUUAGGAAACUUCUUUUUUCGGAUCUUGAUAAUUCUACGAUUGAGCACGUGCUGAGACAGUUAUGUAAACUACCUUGGACUGAAUGUGAACCAUACAUUUUGAAGUGUUUCUUGAAGGUUCAUAAGGGAAAAUAUGGUCAGAUUCA